UUAAUGGUAUAAUUUUGGAAUCGUUUUUGUAAUUAGUUUUUUGUGUAAGUGAGUGAGUGGAUAAGCUGGACAACUGUCUGCUAAGAAAUGCUGCCUAUUCAGCCAUGUUCCAAUGAAGGUAAUGGCUAUUUGCUGUGUGGACAGUGUGUGCUGUUUAAAUAGUUAUUUGUGUAAAUAAUUCUUGAAGUGUAGUUAGUGGUGUAGACUAGUAGGUUUAUGUAGAGGUUAUGUAAGUGUCUAGCCUACUCAUUUCACAUCUUUCAAAUGGUUAAUCCAUAUAGACUUGUUAACAUGUACGUAGAAUAAACCUACUCCUAGAUUAAAGACUGUCUAGGACUAGGUUUAUUCCAUGUGCAAGAAAUCAACUCCAUAUGGAUUAAUCCUUCAAACGAUGGAUGAUUGAGGAGGAGCGCAUGCCCAUCCAUAGCAAGUGUGCAUGCCCGUCCUCAUAGGUGGUCUCGCUACUGAUUACUUUACUAUCCCGUCAGGUGCCAGUGUUCUGAUUAGGUCUACGGCUCUGGGCCUACUUAUCAAACCCAGCUGACUCUUUAUGAUGCAACAAUGCAAGGGACACACACACACACACACACUUUGUGGUUUAAUAGAUAUAUGUUUGAUUUUGUUCAUGAAUCUCACUUGAACGUCAUCUGUGCUCUGUUCUUGAACACACUCUGCGGUUGCAUGUGCUGUAAAAGAAUGCCAAAGUUUGCGGUUUAUGUAUGGCAAACAGAAUGCAGUUUGUAAUGUUGCUUGUUUUAAAAUUAUUGUUGCUGUCUGUUUAUUUGACUUGUAUAGGUUUUUUUCUCCAGAUGUAUGCAGACCUCACCUCGUCAUGCUCAUCGGUCUGUUCCUGGCUGUGUUUCUUUCUGUCAGAUGGACCUGGGACCUGUUCCUGAUAUAAACCAAAUGUAAUGUAACUUCUUUCAAUGUAUUGUUGUUCUUUAACCUGUACCUGUCCUUUUUUCAGUUGUGUAUUGACCUCACCUCUUCAUUGUCCACCAGUUCCUGACAUUCAGACUUGUUUCUGUUUUUGAUUGUGCUACCUCACCUGUUCACUGUCUUCCACCAGUUCCUGCCUUUCAUUGAGUUCUGCACUUAGUUCCUGUUCCUAAUAAAACAAAUAAAAAAAGACUGAUAACUCCA